rnacentral:rRNA from 1 species
UUACGGCUCAGUAACACGUAGCUAACCUGCCCUGAGUCGAGGAUACUCUCGGGAAACUGAGGUUAAUACUCGAUAGGAGAUGUACCUGGAAUGAUUCAUCUCUCAAAUUCGAGCUUAAGGAUGGGGCUGCGGCGGAUUAGGUUGUUGGCGGGAUAAAAGCCCACCAAGCCGAUGAUCCGUAAGGGCUCUUAGCGGAGAGGCCCUGAGAGGGAAUCUGAGACACUAUUCCCAGCCCUACGGGGUGCAGCAGUUAGGAAUCUUCUGCAAUGCGCGCAAGCGUGACAGAUUGAGUCAGAGUGCUUUUCAUAUGAAAAGCUUUUGCCAAAUGUAAAAAGUUUGGCGAAUAAGGACUGGGUAAGACGGGUGCCAGCCGCCGCGGUAAUACCCGCGGUCCAAGUCGCAGCCAUCAUUAUUGGGUCUAAAACAUCCGUAGCUUGCUUAGUAAGUUUCUUGUGAAAUUCCAUGUCUCAAAUAUGGAGCGGGCAAGAAGUACCGUUAAGCUAGAGACUGGAAGACGUAAGAAGUACGUUUGGAGUAGCGGUAAAAUGUGUUAAUCCCAGACGGACUAACAACAGCGAAGGCAUCUUACGAGGACAGUUCUGACAGUAAGGGAUGAAGGCUAGGGGCGCGAAAGGGAUUAGAUACCCCUGUAGUCCUAGCAGUAAACACUGCACACUAAACAUUAGUACCUCCUCGAGAGGUAUUAGUGCUGAAGAGAAGUCGAAGA